rnacentral:lncRNA from 1 species
AAAAAUCACACAACAAAUGCCCUACAAGCUACACUACGAAUUGUAAACACUGCAAUUGAAAUUCAAAAAUCAGAUAACACAAACACAACCCUAGCCACCAGUCGCUACACCACCACCUCUUCUCCAUCGGCCCGUCGCGCCCAGCAGAACCCGCAGGCUGCAGCCGGCCGCGUGCCCAGCACCGCGACUCCAUGAGCGCGCAGCCACCCACGCACCGCACUGGAGGUCCGCAACAGCCCGCCGUGCCGCUGCUUCGCCGCCCCCUGCCUACUCGCACGCCCCCUGCCUAUUUGUCUUAGGCAAAUCGAAGUUCUUGACAUUCUUGCUACUGAUUAAUUCCAUAUGUAGUGUGAUUUCUUGGUUUCAUAUUUGAAUAAAUAUACUUUUGAUUCUUAUAAUUUUGGAGCUCACGCCACUGUGUGCAUUUCUCCUUUUAUUUUUUUGGAUUUAGGUUUAUGUGUUUUGCUUGGUUUGAAGCUUAUUAUUAUAUCCUUGUAUUCAUAUUUGUAAUUAUUACACCCUUGUAUUCAUUCUUUGUGAUUUACGUUUGUUUGAGCAGAAUGGACGCCUCAAACUUAAUAGAAAAUACACCUCAAGAAGAUGAGAUCAUGGAGGAAGAGAAUGAGGUGGAGAAAGAAGAACCAUUUUAUGUCAUGUUGAACACCACUUAAUUUGUAAGCUUGGUGGAAGAUUGAGUGCUUGAGAUUUGUUCUAGUGAAGUGUUAUUUUGAUGAAUUUGAAACUUUUCGUGAUGUAUGUACUAGAUGGAUAUUGUUUAUUUUACAAACUUUUGAAUUUCUGGUUUAUAUUGAGGAUUCUAACAGUGGAAUCAUCAUUUGAUAAUUUAUUAUUGUCCAUUUUGUGUUUUUAUUAGGU